AAAAUUUGAGCGGAGAUGAACUAACUAGGAUUCCCUCAGUAGCUGCGAGCGAACAGGGAAAAGCCCAGCACCGAAUCCCGCGGCCGAUAUCGGGCGCCGGGAAAUGUGGUGUUAGGGAGGAUCCGUUUAUCCCGAGGUCGUGCGGCGCGUCCAAGUCCUUCUUGAACGAGGCCACAGCCCAUAGAGGGUGCCAGGCCCGUAGCGACCGCUGCCGAUCGCGGGAGGAUCUCUCCUCAGAGUCGGGUUGCUUGAGAGUGCAGCCCUAAGUGGGUGGUAAACUCCAUCUAAGGCUAAAUAUGACCACGAGACCGAUAGCGAACAAGUACCGUGAGGGAAAGUUGAAAAGCACUUUGAAGAGAGAGUUCAAGAGUACGUGAAACCGUUCAGGGGUAAACCUGAGAAACCCGAAAGGUCGAAAGGGGAAAUUCAUUCGCGUUUCGGCGGUCGGAGCGAGACGGUCGAGUGACGGGCGGCGUGCGCGUCGUCCGCUUCCUCCGUUUCGCGUGUCCGGCUCCGAACGCGUGCACUUUUCCCCUAGUAGGACGUCGCGAUCCGUUGGGUGUCGGUUUAAGGCUCUCGCGGUGGAGCCCGGGCGCGCGUCUCACGACGUUUCGCGCCCGGACCCGCGGUGCCCCGACCGGCCCGCUCGACGGUAGACAGAUGGCGCGGGGCCGCUAACUCGCAAUUAGCGCCCGGCCCGCGGCAAGCGCGUCCGUUGCGACGGCGGCCGGACCUGGUGCCGGUCCUGUCCCCGGACGACUGUUGGCUGCGGUGUUCUCGGGCAGACCUCGUCUCUCGAAACGCCGAUCUGCGACGCUAUAGCUUUGGGUACUUUCAGGACCCGUCUUGAACCACCCC
rnacentral:rRNA from 1 species